CUUCGCAAGCGCCUCAGAAACGCAUUUUCUGACGCAUUCCUAUCGCGCAGGUCUCCUAGGAGCUUCGGAACCUUACAAAUAUCCCGAGUCGCUAGCUUCAUAAGGGCUUGCAAGAAUCGACGGCAGAAAUGGGCGGGCAGUGGGACGGAGGCCAGGUUAUCAAUCUACCUCUUUCUCUUUCCUUGGAGAGGCUUCUAGAGAUGGCGGUUCCCGCAGAUCCGACCAAAACGGUUCCUUUUCCUCCUCUGGGCAUCCCGUUUGUGGUGCGUACACACUGAAGAUGUUCACUGGGAAUUCAUCCAAAGACAGUCGCACCCACAUUAUGCGAUCAUUUCUCCUGUUCACUUCUGUAACCAAGUCUUUCAGAUCCUUAGAUAAAAUAAUUCCAAUGCCAUUUCUCUUUUCAUUGUUUGCCCCUCCAUAAAUAAGUUUGAAUCCAUCACCUAGUUCUUUGGCCUUAUUUCCUGUCCAUCUCGUUUCCUGCACGCAUAACACAUCCACUUUUCUUUCCUUCAUAAGGUCUGCAAUGGCACGGCCUCUUCCGGUCAUUGAUCCAACAUUCAACGUUCCAAAUCUCAUUUUGUGAGCUUGUCUCUUUAGCCGCACCCGCUCUUGAUGCGGUAGCCCUCGCUGCGCCACAGAGUUAGGGCGAUGUAUCUGUGGGUCACUUAUGGGUGACAUCCUAGCAUUAGUCUCAUUUUCGAUAAGGCUCAUAUCAUCUCAGGUUUUGGCAGGGGGUUUUACGGGUGGAUGCCCUUCCUAACCCCAACCCUCCCCAUUUAUCCGGGCUUGGGACCGGCACUGAGUUGAGCUGGCUUGCUCCCCAAGUGGCUGGGUGAUGCCAAACUAUGGAGUGCUAUUAAUUGGCGAGGUGAACUGACGGACACUGCUUUUAAUGAAAACACUAAGCCAAGUGACGACACAUUUAAAACGUAUUUUGAAGAUAUAUUUAAUCCUCCAAACACUGUAUACCCUGACCUGAACGAUCUACACUCACAAAUUACUAUUCCUGUAUUAGAUGAACCUAUUACGACUAACGAGGUAGACACCCAAAUAAAGCGAUUAAGGUCUAAUAAAGCUAGUGGCCCUGAUGGCAUACCUCCUGUUUUGUUUAAAUGGUUGCCUGCAUCCUGGAUAUUGUUCAUUGCCACAUUAUUCAACUCAGUAUUCAUGAGUGGUUCAUACCCUGACAGUUGGAUUAAUGCUAAGAUGUUUGUGAUAUUCAAAUGUGGUUCAAAGCUACUACCAAGUAAUUAUAGACCUAUUAAUGUAAUCAACAGCAUGGCUAAACUGUAUGAUAUGGUGUUGUGUGCACGACUCACCCAGUGGUUUGCACAACACCGAGAACAGGCAGGCAGCCAGGCGGGCCGAGGAUGUACUGAACAUUUACUAACACUUAGAUUGUUGAUGGAUGUUGCCAGAAGAAAGAAAUUUAAAUUAUUUAUAACGUUUGUCGAUUUUAGACGAGCCUAUGAUUGUGUCCCUAGGAUUGAUUUAUUUACAUGUCUGAAGCAAAUGGGAUGUGGGGUGAUAAUGCUGUUAGCGUUAGCUGGUAUGUACAAGUAUACUAACAGUAUUAUAGGAACUGCAUUAAUUGCCACUAGUGUGGGUGUGCGGCAGGGUUCCCCUACAUCCUGUGUGCUUUUUAGAAUAUAUGUCAAUGUAAUGAUUCAAAUGAUCAAACAAAGAUGUCCUUUAGACGGCUUUCUGUCAUGGUUGCACAUAUUAGUGAUGAUGGACGACACUGUAUUAUUGUCAACAACUAGAGAAGGAAUGAUAAGGAAAAUAGAGAUUCUACAUGAUUUUUGUAGCUCACACGGUAUGGUGGUUAAUAAUGACAAAACAAAAUUUAUGGUGGUAAAUGGUAAUACUGAAGAUAAAGAAAUGAUAUUGUGUCAGGAUAUGCGAGUAAGUUACUGUACUAGCUAUAUAUAUUUAGGUAGUCCCUUCACUGAUGACGGAUUAGCCUCAACAGCUGUAAAGCUUCAUGCAAACAAAAAGAUGUGUCAUGUUUUAAAAUUUAUAUCUUUUAUCAAUAGGAAUAAUGAUGUACCAUUUUAUAUUAAGAGAAAAGUUUUUGAUGCUUGUGUUACUACUUCGGUGCUAUAUGGAUGCGAAUCGUGGCUCAGCUGUGACUUAAAACCUAUAGAGAAACUAUACAAAUGGUGCAUAAAGGAAUUAUUAGGUGUGAGAAUAACUACUAAUAAUGACAUUUGCAUGGUGGAAUUAGGUUUACCCUCACUUAAAGCGCUUGUUAAGGAAAAACAAAGGAAAUAUUUUCAUAAAGUGUGGACAGAAAGAAACGAUAUAGUUGAUGACCCGUUGAUGCACGUACUGAGGUUAGUGUUAAAUUACAACGAUCAAGUGUCUAGGUAUAUCACAGAUAUGACUAUAAAUGAUUUUAACGGUGUGGAAGAUGCCAAGCACAGAAUGAGACUUAAUAUUAGGAAUUCGUUGUCAAAUAGGUUGACCUUUUAUAAACAAAUUAACCCGAAUCUAAUAGUACAUGAUAUAUACACAAGAAGUACUAGAGUGAACGAGAUAGAGCGUGUGUCAUGGACAAGACUUCGUCUCAGUGCUCAUUCCCUGGCGGUAGAAACAGGUCGCUGGAACCGUCGGGGACGUGGUCGCCUUCCCAUGGAGGAGAGGCUGUGUCCCUGCGGCCUCGUGCAGACCGAGACACAUGUCAUCGAGACUUGUCCCUUGUCUUUGACCCUUAGAUUAACAUAUAAUGUCACAACUGUUCAUCAAUUGUUGGUAGACAGAACUGAUUAUGAUAAUGUGUGUUUUAUAGUGCAUAAAUUAUUAGCGUUGUUUAAGUGAUAAAGUUAUGUAUGCAUCUCCAAGUCUUAAGAUGUUACCCCCGUAGUGUGAUGUUUGCUGGAUUCCUGCCCCAUCUUUAAGGAUUAUUUUAUGUGUUUUACUUAUUUUUACUAUUGCAUUUGUGUUUUAAAUGUGUUAUAAAAGUUUUAAUGUAUAUCAUUCGCAUAGUGCUAUUAAGAGAAGUUACUGUAUUUUGGACCAGAACUGUAUGUAUUUUAAAUUGUAUAAUUUAUUUAUUUUAUUUUUUUCCUGUGGUCAAUAAACUAUCUGAAUCUGAA